rnacentral:rRNA from 1 species
GAGUUUGAUCAUGGCUCAGAACGAACGCUGGCGGCAUGCCUAACACAUGCAAGUCGAACGAGACCUUCGGGUCUAGUGGCGCACGGGUGCGUAACGCGUGGGAAUCUGCCCUUGGGUACGGAAUAACAGUUAGAAAUGACUGCUAAUACCGUAUAAUGACUUCGGUCCAAAGAUUUAUCGCCCAGGGAUGAGCCCGCGUCGGAUUAGNUAGUUGGUGAGGUAAAGGCUCACCAAGGCGACGAUCCGUAGCUGGUCUGAGAGGAUGAUCAGCCACACUGGGACUGAGACACGGCCCAGACUCCUACGGGAGGCAGCAGUGGGGAAUAUUGGACAAUGGGCGAAAGCCUGAUCCAGCAAUGCCGCGUGAGUGAUGAAGGCCUUAGGGUUGUAAAGCUCUUUUACCCGGGAUGAUAAUGACAGUACCGGGAGAA